GAUGAACGCUGGCGGCGUGCUUAACACAUGCAAGUCGAACGAUGAAGCCCAGCUUGCUGGGUGGAUUAGUGGCGAACGGGUGAGUAACACGUGAGUAACCUGCCCUUAACUCUGGGAUAAGCCUGGGAAACUGGGUCUAAUACCGGAUAGGAGCGCCUACCGCAUGGUGGGUGUUGUAAAGAUUUAUCGGUUUUGGAUGGACUCGCGGCCUAUCAGCUUGUUGGUGAGGUAAUGGCUCACCAAGGCGACGACGGGUAGCCGGCCUGAGAGGGUGACCGGCCACACUGGGACUGAGACACGGCCCAGACUCCUACGGGAGGCAGCAGUGGGGAAUAUUGCACAAUGGGCGAAAGCCUGAUGCAGCGACGCCGCGUGAGGGAUGACGGCCUUCGGGUUGUAAACCUCUUUCAGUAGGGAAGAAGCGAAAGUGACGGUACCUGCAGAAGAAGCACCGGCUAACUACGUG
rnacentral:rRNA from 1 species